rnacentral:lncRNA from 1 species
CAAGGUUAAGGACACACCUGAGAAAAGAACAGAGAACCACAGGAAAAACUGUGGUCCGUGCUUUUCCCAAAGAUUGUCUGGGGACCUCAAGUUUGGCCUUUUCUUCAGCACUGGGAAUUGUGAUCCAAAGCUUUUCCUGAUGAGGCACAAAGUUGGAGAAACAAAACGCAAACUAAGCAACAAUGAAACAGAACAGAGUGAAUCUGCUGUAGCUCAAGAGAGGACGUAGCUGCCCCCACCCCGCAUCCCUGGGCUCGGGUUUGCCUUGCUGACCUCUGCUGCCACCUGGU